rnacentral:rRNA from 1 species
AACGAACGCUGGCGGCAGGCCUAACACAUGCAAGUCGAACGAAGUCUUCGGACUUAGUGGCGGACGGGUGAGUAACACGUGGGAACGUGCCUUUAGGUUCGGAAUAACUCAGGGAAACUUGUGCUAAUACCGAAUGUGCCCUUCGGGGGAAAGAUUUAUCGCCUUCAGAGCGGCCCGCGUCUGAUUAGCUAGUUGGUGAGGUAAAGGCUCACCAAGGCUACGAUCAGUAGCUGGUCUGAGAGGAUGACCAGCCACAUUGGGACUGAGACACGGCCCAAACUCCUACGGGAGGCAGCAGUGGGGAAUCUUGCGCAAUGGGCGAAAGCCUGACGCAGCCAUGCCGCGUGGAUGAUGAAGGUCUUAGGAUUGUAAAAUCCUUUCACCGGUGAAGAUAACGACUGUAGCCGGAGAAGAAGCCCCGGCUAACUUCGUGCCAGCCGCCGCAGUAAUAC